rnacentral:rRNA from 1 species
CUUCUUUGCUGGCGACCGGCGCACGGGUGAGUAACACGUAUCCAACCUGCCCUUUACUCGGGAUAGCCUUUCGAAAGAAAGAUUAAUACCCGAUAGUAUAAUGAUUCCGCAUGGUUUCAUUAUUAAAGGAUUCCGGUAAAGGAUGGGGAUGCGUUCCAUUAGGUUGUUGGUGAGGUAACGGCUCACCAAGCCUUCGAUGGAUAGGGGUUCUGAGAGGAAGGCCCCCCACAUUGGAACUGAGACACGGUCCAA